rfam:Mustela putorius furo unplaced genomic scaffold scaffold00119, whole genome shotgun sequence.
CAAUGGCCACACUAUCCUGAAUGGACCCAAUCUUGUCUCACCUUCGAAGCUAAGUAGGGUUGGGCCUGCUUAGUACUUGUAUGGGAGAGGAAGCUUGUGUUCUUUGGCUUCUUGAGAAUAUCUGGUUUCACUUUGU